rnacentral:lncRNA from 13 species
AUGGAACAGUUUGUCAGAGUAUCCUGUGAAAUCUACAGUCAGCAGGAUCCUGCCACUGAAGAGGAAAACCAGGAAGCUAAUCAGACACCUGGUAAACCCAGGCAGGAUCAACAGGCUUCCCCUUCAGAUGCCAAUCCUUUCUCUCCACACCUGGAAAAAACAGUGGGCUGGGUUAAAAUUCUACCCCCUUCAAAUGAGGACAUCACUUUCCACAGCCUACGAGAAAGUCAAAACAAACAUAAAGAUAGAAAGCCAGUUCCACCUAAGGCUGCAGGAUCUGUACCCCGCCUCGAUGGAGAAAAGACUCAAGUAAACAAACCAGACCUGACCAAACCAGUCACUGGACCAGUUAUUCUCCCUUUUCCUGAAGAACCUUCUCUAUCAGAUUCAUGUCCAGGAGAAGCAAAGCAGAUGGAUGGCAUCCUCCAUCCUUUGAUAACUAGAAUGCCUACCACAGUCUAGCCAGCAUCCACGCACCUCAGCUCUCUGCAACAAAAUAACAGCCAAAAUGGCAACAUGGUUUUCAAUUUGUGUAACAUCUUCAAAUAAAUAAAGUGUUUAUUACAGUCUUCAUCUUUGGCAUUCUCAGUUUUAUGAAAGCACAAGAACAGAUUGGGAAAAGUAAUUUAACUGGGGCAUUUUCCAACAAAAGUAUUUGGCUUUUAAUUCUCAAAUUCCUCCCAUCGGGCAGAGCAUGAAGGAAAAGUAACUGUGGAGGAUAAAAGAACUUGCAGGGCUGGGACAGCCCAAAUACAUCAGAAAAAAAUAUCCUCAGUAGCAAAAUUCUGUCAGGGCCCAGUGCAGGAUGCCUUCUCCCCAAGGGAUAGUGAGAUGGAGCCAAGUGUGACAACCAGGUUGGCAGGGCAGGGGCCUGGCCCGUGAUGCCUGAGGGGGUGAGCAGGGCACACCCAGGGAUGGAAGUCAGGUUGUAGGAAGAAGCCAGUUCACCACAUAAGUUCAGGGGCGGUGAGGCAGGUCUGAGGUCAAGCCAGGAAUGAGUUAGCAAGGCAUGGUCAGGGGCUGGUGUGGUUAUGGUAGCCAGAGUCAGGCACAGCCCAGCGGUCUCCGAGCAAGUCUGCAGUGACCACACAGGCGUGAGGGACACAAGGCUGCAGGUCUGAGCCUGCGUCUGCAUCUGCAGCAUCUGCGGCCAGGCUCAGGCACAGCUGCGAUGCAGCAGGAGCUGGAGCUCGGGCAGGGGCCCGCACGCUGCAGCCUCAGCCUAAAGCAGCUCCUGAGGGAAGCGGCGUGGGUCAGGCUGGCCGGGAGCCUGUCCCCAAGGUCACCUGGGAACAGCCCCGGUGUGCUGAGCCUGGCAUCCGGCACCAAACCCUCGUGGAGCAGGG